AACUUGUGUUUUAUUGUUUGAUUGUUGAGUUAUUUUGUAUUUAUUUAUUGCUCAAAAGAGUUUUUAACUUUAUCCAGAGUUGUUUGUUGUUUGGCUUUUGUUAAACCACUCAUAUUGAGUAACAACUUGAAAUUGACCAAAGCACAUUUAAAGUUGACUCGAAAUGGAAAAGAAAGGAAAGACUGUAUUUUUGUGUAUUUGGAUUGAUUUACUUAUAUUUAUUAUUUAACUAAUAUAUAUUACUAAAAGAUUUUUUAAGUAUAUCUAUAUUGUAAAUGUAUAUAGG